CAGCCGUAAACUAUGCGCGUUAGGUGUAUCGGUGACCACGAGUUACCGAGGUGCCGAAGGGAAACCGUGAAACGUGCCGCCUGGGAAGUACGGUCGCAAGGCUGAAACUUAAAGGAAUUGGCGGGGGAGCACCACAACAGGUGGAGCCUGCGGUUUAAUUGGACUCAACGCCGGAAAUCUCACCGGAUAGGACAGACAUAUGAUAGUCGGGCUGAAGACUCUACUUGAUGAUCUGAGAGGAGGUGCAUGGCGUAGACGUCU
rnacentral:rRNA from 1 species